UCUGUCGUGAUGCUGGUGAUCAUCACACACACACUGAUGGAGCCAGGUAGACGGGGUCCAAUUAGCGGCGCGGCGCCUCCACCGUCUCCGGUUCUCCUGGCGCCGUUUUGUUCUUUUAAACUUGAUUUAACUCAAAACUCAAAACUUCUUGAAAGAAGAGAAAAAUGCUGAAAAACUGCAAUUUCCUGCUGCCACGCGCCGCCAUAUAUGUAUAUACGUAUAUACAUAUAUACAUGUCUGUCUCUGUCUGUCUGGGUGUCGUAGAUACGCAGCGUGGGUAGCGGCUUGUGCAUGGAGAUCAAACACUUUGUGUCGGGGAUAGGGUUGGGUACCGGAAACCCGGUGCCAAUAUGGUACCGGUUCCAAUACAACCGGUAUUACCCGGACCGAAACGCAACGCACAUUUCGGUGCUUCUUUCCGGUGCCUGAGCCGAUUGAAAUUGAAAAAAACUAUUGUUGUGAACUUCUCAGGUGACUCCGCCCUGUCAGCAGGUUGAGCCUCUCAUAUGUAACUCUGACAGCGGAGGCGUGGCCGUGUGUGACUGUGAGCCCGUGUGGAGCACAGCAGCGUCAGGCUGGACGACGGGGAGACCGUCACCGGUCCCCCUGAACACGGGGAGACCGAUGAUGACGAGCAGCCGGAACUCAGAUUAGUACCGGAACGUUGAUUGCAAGCAGGCCCGGGGUGGGUAAUCGGGAGAAUCGGGAGAGUUCCCGGUGGGCCGCUUCACUUCUGGGCCGGUCGAGAAUUGUAUUUGUUGACAUUUGUCACGUUCGUCCAUCUUCUCUUAAAGUGGGCUACACACGUUCCGCAUUCUGACAGCACAGCCUCUGCAUGGGUUGUACCAUGCGAGGAAGUUCACCCCUCCCAAAUAUUAGAGUUGGUUCAGUCCAUUAUGGAACCAACCAAUACAAUUUGGGAGAGGAGCACUUCCUAAUCGAGUUGGUUCGGCCCUUCGCCGUCUUUUCCAAAAAGUUUUCUCAGCUCCUGAUAGCUGGGCCGGCCCGACCGCAACGAUACGCGUCAGGGAGGAUGGACGGGAGGAAGAGGGCCGGAGGGGCUGGAAAAGCCAGGUUGAAAAAAAGAAAGGCAUUGGAGGAGGAUGCUGCCAAAUGUGCCAAGCUUACAGAUUUAUUUACAAGAGGACAAACACAAGUGGCAACUGCUUCGGAGCAGCAGAUAAGAGUCUCCUGCUGAAGAUGAUGAGCCCGACAUUUGCAAUGAGGCCAUGACGACAGGGACAGGUAGAGAGGAUAACAGAGGAAACUAUAUGAAUUAAAGUUAUAUAUUCUAAGAAAGAGCAGUAUAUGACAGUACUUGAUGAACCAAUAUGCAUUGUUUGCUCAGAAGUGGGUGUAGUAAAGGAGUAAAUCACCACUAUAUAAUACUCAUGCAGAAAAAUGAUAAUGACAAUGACCAUGACAAUGACCAUGCCAAUGACGGCCCCCCAUGAGGUCUCACUACAACAAAUCUGGCCUACUGCCUCAUCUGAGUGACACCCCUGCUACGCCCUUCUGCCUUUUUUAAUGUUAUGCAUAUUUUUUGUUAACUUCUCAUCUUAAGUGGAUUAUUAUUGUUGUAUUUAACCUUUACAUUAUUUGUUGGACCAUGGUAUUAAUAAAAGAACUACAGGAUAGUAA